ACGCCACUGACGCUCAUGCACGAAAGCGUGGGUAUCGAACAGGAUUAGAUACCCUGGUAGUCCACGCGGUAAACGAUGAUAACUAGUUAUCCGGCGCGAUUGAGUGCUGGGUGACCGAGCGAAAGCGUUAAGUUAUCCACCUGGGGAGUACGCCGGCAACGGUGAAACUCAAAGGAACUGACGGGGGCCCGCACAAGCGGAGGAACAUGUGGUUUAAUUCGAUGAUACGCGAGGAACCUUACCCGGGCUCAAACGCAUCGCGCUACACCCUGAAAGGGGUGGUUCUUCGGACGCGGUGCGAGGUGCUGCAUGGUUGUCGUCAGCUCGUGCCGUGAGGUGUCGGCUUAAGUGCCAUAACGAGCGCAACCCCCAUCUUCAGUUGCCAUCGGGUUAAGCCGGGCACUCUGGAGAGACUGCCGGCGCAAGCUGUGAGGAAGGCGGGGAUGACGUCAAAUCAGCACGGCCCUUACGUCCGGGGCGACACACGUGUUACAAUGGCGGGGCUACAGAGGGGAGCCAGGCGGCGACGCCGAGCUGAUCCCGAAAACCCGUCUCAGUUCGGAUCGGAGUCUGCAACCCGACUCCGUGAAGCUGGAUUCG
rnacentral:rRNA from 1 species